CGUAGGGAAACCGAGUCUUAAUUGGGCGUUAAGUUGCAGGGUAUAGACCCGAAACCCGGUGAUCUAGCCAUGGGCAGGUUGAAGGUUGGGUAACACUAACUGGAGGACCGAACCGACUAAUGUUGAAAAAUUAGCGGAUGACCUGUGGCUGGGGGUGAAAGGCCAAUCAAACCGGGAGAUAGCUGGUUCUCCCCGAAAGCUAUUUAGGUAGCGCCUCGUGAAUUCAUCUCCGGGGGUAGAGCACUGUUUCGGCUAGGGGGCCAUCCCGGCUUACCAACCCGAUGCAAACUGCGAAUACCGGAGAAUGUUAUCACGGGAGACACACGGCGGGUGCUAACGUCCGUCGUGAAGAGGGAAACAACCCAGACCGCCAGCUAAGGUCCCAAAGUCAUGGUUAAGUGGGAAACGAUGUGGGAAGGCCCAGACAGCCAGGAUGUUGGCUUAGAAGCAGCCAUCAUUUAAAGAAAGCGUAAUAGCUCACUGGUCGAGUCGGCCUGCGCGGAAGAUGUAACGGGGCUAAACCAUGCACCGAAGCUGCGGCAGCGACGCUGAUGCGUUGUUGGGUAGGGGAGCGUUCUGUAAGCCUGCGAAGGUGGCCUGUGAGGGUUGCUGGAGGUAUCAGAAGUGCGAAUGCUGACAUAAGUAACGAUAAAGCGGGUGAAAAGCCCGCUCGCCGGAAGACCAAGGGUUCCUGUCCAACGUUAAUCGGGGCAGGGUGAGUCGACCCCUAAGGCGAGGCCGAAAGGCGUAGUCGAUGGGAAACGGGUUAAUAUUCCCGUACUUGGUGUUACUGCGAAGGGGGGACGGAGAAGGCUAUGUUGGCCGGGCGACGGUUGUCCCGGUUUAAGCGUGUAGGUGUGUGUUCCAGGUAAAUCCGGUUCACUUUAACACUGAGGCGUGACGACGAGGCACUACGGUGCUGAAGCAACAAAUGCCCUGCUUCCAGGAAAAGCCUCUAAGCAUCAGGUAACAUCAAAUCGUACCCCAAACCGACACAGGUGGUCAGGUAGAGAAUACCAAGGCGCUUGAGAGAACUCGGGUGAAGGAACUAGGCAAAAUGGUGCCGUAACUUCGGGAGAAGGCACGCUGAUAUGUAGGUGAAGUGAUUUACUCAUGGAGCUGAA
rnacentral:rRNA from 1 species